rnacentral:rRNA from 1 species
CACGUAGGGCGCGAGCGUUGUCCGGAAUUAUUGGGCGUAAAGAGCUCGUAGGCGGCCUGUUGCGUCCGCUGUGAAAGCCCGGGGCUUAACCCCGGGUCGCAGUGGAUACGGGCAGGCUAGAGGUAGGUAGGGGAGAAUGGAAUUCCCGGUGUAGCGGUGAAAUGCGCAGAUAUCAGGAGGAACACCGGUGGCGAAGGCGGGACUCUGGGCCGAUACUGACGCUGAGGAGCGAAAGCGUGGGGAGCAAACAGG